rnacentral:rRNA from 1 species
GACGAACGCUGGCGGCGUGCCUAAUACAUGCAAGUAGAACGCUGAAGGAGGAGCUUGCUCUUCUGGAUGAGUUGCGAACGGGUGAGUAACGCGUAGGUAACCUGCCUGGUAGCGGGGGAUAACUAUUGGAAACGAUAGCUAAUACCGCAUAAGAGUAGAUGUUGCAUGACAUUUGCUUAAAAGGUGCAAUUGCAUCACUACCAGAUGGACCUGCGUUGUAUUAGCUAGUUGGUGGGGUAACGGCUCACCAAGGCGACGAUACAUAGCCGACCUGAGAGGGUGAUCGGCCACACUGGGACUGGGACACGGCCCAGACUCCUACGGGAGGCAGCAGUAGGGAAUCUUCGGCAAUAGACGGAAGUCUGACCGAGCAACGCCGCGUGAGUGAAGAAGGUUUUCGGAUCGUAAAGCUCUGUUGUAAGAGAAGAACGAGUGUGAGAGUGGAAAGUUCACACUGUGACGGUAUCUUACCAGAAAGGGACGGCUAACUACGUG